AGAAAACAUUUAGAGACACAACUAUUGCAAAGCAUACUCAGUAGUAGUGAAGGUUGAAUCUCGCUCAUCUGACGUGUGGAUUUGUUUCAGCAGAGUCAAGAACCUUACAUGGAAAAACAGGAAGAAGAGGUUACUCAUCUGUGCAGCAACUGACGUUUUUCAAGAUGAUUGACCCCAUGGGUGCUCCACAUUAGGUUGGUGUGCCACCGCUGAGCUCAUCCUUUGGAGUCUUCAGACCAGUGUCCCUGGGUUCGCGCAUGUGUGCGCGUCUUGCCACGCGCUCCUAUUGGGCAGACCUCAGGCAUGCACAAGCCCCAUCUUCUCCUCAGUUCCUUCUCUACCCCAGAAGCAUACAGCCCAUCGAAGAAGCCAACAUUCUGAAAUAGAGGGGAGGAAGGAAGGGUAGCGGAGUACCCAUGGGGACACUCAUCUUGAAGAAU